rnacentral:rRNA from 1 species
GACGAACGCUGGCGGCGUGCUUAACACAUGCAAGUCGAACGGAAAGGCCCUGCUUUUGUGGGGUGCUCGAGUGGCGAACGGGUGAGUAACACGUGAGUAACCUGCCCUUGACUUUGGGAUAACUUCAGGAAACUGGGGCUAAUACCGGAUAGGAGCUCCUGCUGCAUGGUGGGGGUUGGAAAGUUUCGGCGGUUGGGGAUGGACUCGCGGCUUAUUAGCUUGUUGGUGGGGUAGUGGCUUACCAAGGCUUUGACGGGUAGCCGGCCCGAGAGGGUGACCGGCCACAUUGGGACUGAGAGACGGCCCAGACGCCUACGGGAGGCAACGGUGGGGAAUAUUGCACAAUGGGCGGAAGCCUGAUGCAGCAGCGCCGCGUGCGGGAUGACGGCCUUCGGGGUAUGAACCGCUUUCGCCUGUGACGAAGCGUGAGUGACGGUAAUGGGUAAAGAAGCACCGGCUAACUACGUG